GACAGAUGGUUACAGCUAUCGUCUGUCAAUCGUAAUUCUGUCCAUGUUUAUUUUUCACAAAGGCUGCUACACCAAUAGGCUCCAUUUUCAUAACCUUGUAAACAUUAUUGUUGAUAAAGUUUAAAUUAUUUCCCUUUAAACAACAGUGCCAAAACAAUUCCGCAUACAAAAUGUGCAAAUGCAUCGCUGGAACAUGUGUCUGCUGUUGCUGCCAAUGCGCUAUGAGCAUGUUCAUAUCGCUGCUGUUCGUCUUCAUACUGAUCGCUGCAGCUGUCGCAUUAGGAAUUUACUUCGGACUGCUGAACGUGGACGAUACAGCUCCGAAUGUAUCGGACUUCGUGCAUAAAACUGGCGAUUCUAUAAAAGAUAGCAUUAAGGACAAGUUCCAAUAGUUCCUUUCCAUAUUCUAUGGUUGCAUUCUUUUCGCUAUCGCCAUUGCCGUAGCCGUUUACUAUGGAUUUAUUCACGUCGAUGAGUCCGCUUCCGAUGUAAUAAAGGACACUGGAUCUAAGAUUAAGGAUUCCAUUAAAGAUGGCUUUAAAAAGCUAAGCGACAAUUGAGCGUGUUUGCAAAUGUUACAACACACAACAUAGAAGAUGCUACCUGAAAAUGGAACACCACCUCACUACCAAAAACGUGCCAGCUAUUACGCAUACAGAUAUUUGCUCCCAUCUAUACAAACACCUAAUACUAUUCCGUAUAAAACGAAGCAUGUAACGCGCCUACCUCGAAGGUGGGCCUACAAUCACAAACAGAGAUCUGGUAUUAAUCUCAGCAGAUUGCUAAUUUAUUAAAUCCGCGAUUCAAAGGAAGCUUUUUAUGAAGAAUUUUUGCGAUAUUAAUUGAAUAAAAUUUCUAUUUAACAUGUAAUCGUCUAAUUUUGCUGAGUUUCAUGUUUCUUGUAUAUCUCUGUUCAGAGAUCGCUUAACAACUAGCACAACUGACGUACCCAGAUUUGGUAACAGAUAUCUGAUCCUCAGUAUGCUUUGCAUGCAUGAAAUAACCGUUGCUCCUCUACCAAUGGAUUCAUCCCAAAUUUCCGAAAUCCAACAUACUUCUUGGUUGUGUCUCAUUUGUGCGACACUGGUGAUUCUGGUGAUGACAAUAAGUGUUGCACUAAACAUUUUUUUAUGGAUACGACUUUCAAAAGCAUUCCAGCAAUAGUGAUCAUCAUGAACCGGGGUAAAAUAAAGUAGAUAAACUCAA